UUGAUAUUUAAAUCAAAAGUGAGGGUAGUUUUGUCUUUUGACUAUGUUCUUACUGCUUCUGGAUUAUUCUUGUCUCUCCUUUGGCCUUCCACCUCUCCCAAAUCCCAAUUUCUCUAGCAUUCAUUUUCUACUCUCAACUUCAAAAUUCAGCACAAGACAAUCAAAGAAUUGAGUUGAAUAUUUGAAGAAAACAACCCUAAGAGGCAAAAGACAUUUUGGUGUUUCAUAUUUUGAAAUUCUGGUUGCGCCACAAAAGAUGGAAGAAUAUGAGGCAGCUGGUAUAAGGAUAUAGGAAUACAGAUCCAAGUACAACUACUUGGACUAUGAUCUAGGGGUAGAAAUAUGGUGAUUGAAAGAACUUUCUUCUAUUUGAAUAGAUCAAAUACUAGGUCCUGAUGUUUUCGUGAAGACCACAGAUAAAGGAGGCUGAUAAUAACUAGCGAGGCUAUCCCUUAAAGUAAAUACAUCACAUGAUAGUACCAAGCAAGCAGUUGAUAUGUAGUAGACACAUCCUUUUUCUGUUGUUUUGUGUAAUAAAUUUUUAUUAACUAUGCCUCUGAAAUUGAAGAUAAGAUUUUGAUCAAAUGCUAGCUUAAUCUAAAGUUUGUUUGAGCAUGGGACAUGUCAUUACUGGUGAUCACCACAAGAGAUAAAUUUUCUUACUUGAUUAUC